rnacentral:tRNA from 1 species
GCGGCAAUAGCUCAGUGGUAGAGCCUCCGCUUCGCGUGCGGAGACCCGGGUUCGAUUCCCGGCUGCUUCC